rnacentral:rRNA from 1 species
UGGGGAAUAUUGGACAAUGGGCGAAAGCCUGAUCCAGCCAUGCCGCGUGUGUGAAGAAGGUCUUCGGAUUGUAAAGCACUUUAAGUUGGGAGGAAGGACAUUAACCUAAUACGUUAGUGUUUUGACGUUACCGACAGAAUAAGCACCGGCUAACUCUGUGCCAGCAGCCGCGGUAAUACAGAGGGUGCAAGCGUUAAUCGGAAUUACUGGGCGUAAAGCGCGCGUAGGUGGUUUGUUAAGUUGGAUGUGAAAGCCCCGGGCUCAACCUGGGAACUGCAUCCAAAACUGGCAAGCUAGAGUACGGUAGAGGGUGGUGGAAUUUCCUGUGUAGCGGUGAAAUGCGUAGAUAUAGGAAGGAACACCAGUGGCGAAGGCGACCACCUGGACUGAUACUGACACUGAGGUGCGAAAGCGUGGGGAGCAAACA